UCUUCUUGUUGUUUUAUCAUUCGAUCACCAAAUUUGUUUUCUUAUCUACAUCCGUUUUCAGUGUUAUGUGCAUAAGUGACAUCUCUCAGCUUGCCAUUUUUCGACCUGCUAUGGGCCUACUUAAAAACUGUAAGCACAACGGACUUCUUUACAGUCGAACUCGAAUUGUAGUGAUGAAAGAUUGAUUUCUUCGAAAUCAAAUUAAGGUUAGGAGAAGUCAUUCUGGGUGAAAUAAGUCGACUGUUUUGAAUGUUUACACGUUGCGAAUAUUAAAAGCGGCAGCGCCGAGCCCAAUUCUACUGGAAGUCACUAUACAGAACCGAUCGACUGCACUAAAUCGCUUGAAUCAUUCCGUAAAUAGGGAAGCAUGCAAAGUCCAAAAUCUUCUUCAGCCAUUUGAGGUAGGUAAUUAUUAUUAACUUGUCAUUUCCUCCGCUAAUAACCGGAAAAACUACCAGUUUCACAGUUUAACGGUCUUUCAUAGCAUGGUCGAAAUAUGGCAUGUCGAAAGAUGGUCGAAAGAUGUCGCCUAUGCACGUAACACUGAAAGCGGGUGUAAAUCACUCUCUGAUAGCUCAGGGAAGCAAUUUGCAAUUUUUUAUCAGAGAUCAUGGCUACAAUUGCGUACGCAUGAGCAGUAUGUUAUUUGCAGCAAAACACAUUUAGAUGGUACUACGCUUGAUCAGACCAUUAUUUGUAGGCAGUUAUUUUCAGGUCAUGAGGUUGGCUUUCGACCAACGAAAAGGAAGAAAAAAUACAUCGAAUGAUUAGUGCUGUUGAUUCUUUUGCUAUCAGCCGAACUUGAAGGCUGUCCUUUAAUAAUGAUAUAAACCGAUAAUUUGGAUCGCUAAGACAAUGAAAUUUUCAUUCUAGUGGCACUCUUAAAGUCUCAAAGCUAGAGUGUCUUAUCUUCGCGGGUCGCGGCAGGUAAAUUGUCACGGGUGAAAAAUGUCUCGAAGUCUUGGGUAAAGUACAUUGUCGCAAUCGAAUUCGCUUUGUAUCAUCCUAUGGAAUUGCACUAUUUUGUGGUCCGAGCAAAGGUACUUUUGUUACAUUUGCGGCCACCCCGUUAAUACGGCCAAUGGCCACAUUCUGAAAUCCAAAUAGGUAUCUGAUAAUCCUUUAUCAUUUUACCCCGUUUAUAAGGCAACUCAUACCAGUUAUGUUUAUCUUUUGCUUUGAUAAUAUUGUAUCUACUGAUUGAAGGUUCAUUUUUUUAUAAAUUAUAUCGGCAUUCCGGAUGCUUAUUGAAGUUAGGACAGGUGUUUAGUAUAAAAGCGCAAUUUUGAUAUUCAAUUUAUAUCAACCAUAAUAUGUGGUCCAAUCCCGUUAAUACCGCCAGCCCAUCAAUGCGGUCACAUUGUCAUGGCCCGUUGGUAACCGUAUUAACGGGGUUCCAUAGUAUUGAGAUGAUUGUGCUUAUGAUGUCCUCCUAUAAAAGCUUUCUAAGUCGUGUUUUUUUCUCCCUUCACUUAAGAAUUUUGUAUCCAUGAAUCAAUUUACCGUUGCCAGAUGUUCAUGAAAAAUGAAGGGGUGAACGAUAAUGACACAAUUGAAGGACGCGGCAAAACCCGGCUUUGAUAACAAGUUGCUUGGGGCGAUCAUCCCAACCUGUCUGUUAGGUGUAAUUGUAUUUGUGGUCAUAGGAUGCUUCUGGAGGAAAAUAAAGGAGUACAUCUCUCGCUACCGUGGAAGAGUACAUCCAAUACAUAUCGCAGCCAACAAGUAACAGGCAAACCGAGGCACUUGUCUCAGUCUUAAGUUUAUCAGUUUUCGUUUUUGUUGUUUGUAAUCAUCAUAAGCACCCUAAAUACCAAGCUAGGAAGCAAAUGGGGAUGGACAUUGCCUCAGUCAUAAUUUUUGUUCCGGCUUCGACCUUGCAUUGAUUCAUGCAGGAGGGGGGUGAAGAGGUUUUCGGAUCGACGGAAUAGGCCUUAAAAAGCGCACAGGUUGUGGAUUUUUGCGGUAAAUCGAGCGGAUUCGCGGAUCUUGAAACAGUGGAUCUGUGAAUUUUGGCGGGGAUUCCGGAUUGCGCCUGUCUUGAUAUUCAGAUCUUGGCUCCUAAACAAAAUUUGGAUCAUAGAUAUUGCUUCAGCCUUGGUCGGUAUGUUAAUGAGUUCAUCCAAAUUAUUUCUUUUUUCGAACGAAGCUCAUUUAAACUCAGGUGUGAGACUGUUAUCGGAAUUGUGCUGUGUUAGAGUCAUCAAGCUGGCUGCCUUCUUCACUAUUCUUGCGAAAUUAGCAAAGGUAUUCACAUUUACCAGUUUGCCUUUGAACUUUUACACUUCUGUUUCCGGAUGUGGUUGUGGUUUCGGAUCUGAACAAAAAUAUUGGCGGAUCAACGGAUUUGGAGAAAAAACGACACGGAUCGGCGGAUUCAGUUUGUAUACCCCUGUUCACCCCCCUCAUGCAGCAAAUAAACGACGCUAAGCAUGGAAAGAAGUAGCUUCCGAUAUGAUUAGGGAGUGAUUAGAACUUUUCUUACAUGGAAUAAAUUCCACUAAAGUGACCUGUAUAUCGCAGUAUAAAUUAGAAGACAACAUACCGCAAAAUUGCUAAUGAUUCUUAAUAAAAACAAUUCAUAUAUAUUUAAUCCAGAAGUCAAGAUACCAGGUUUGUAACUACAAUAUAUUAAGCUCAGUCCGUUAAGCUAUAAAUAUAUUUUGUGACCUUUUGCUAAUUAUACAAUUCAAGAAUAUGUACCCUAGUUUAUGUUUCUUGUUGAAUGUAGAAGUAAUUUAAGCCUGCUGGUAACUGUGAUGAAUAGUUAACUGAUAGUUUUGUUACUCUUCGGUGAGGUUUUCUGUUUACAUUGUUUGUCCUUUAGUGUUGAAUUUGAAUAAUCUCAAACUAUAAAUAAAGUUAUACUUCAGUUAACUUUUAAUCUUGUGUUAACGUUAACCGGUUUUCGAACAACCCGGCCGAGAUUUGUAACUACAAUUUAUUAAGCCAGCCCGUAAAUCUACAAAUAUAUUAUGUAACCUUUUGCUACAAUUCAAGAAUAUGUACACUAGUUUAUGUUUCUUGUUGAGUGUAGAAGUAUUUUAAGCCUGCUUGUAACUGUGAUGAAUCCAUAGAGUUAGUAGGCUAUGUAAGGUUUUGUGAGUUAUGCAAGAGCCACUCGAAGGCAGUUCUGUCAAUUGUUGCUUUAUUUAUUUAUUUUUUUAUUAUUGCUUUAUUUAUUUUGUUUUGCAACAUUUCGCUAAUGAUAUGCUUCGCAGCAAUGCAUGACUUACAGUUCGUUUUAGUAUAUAUUCCGGAUGUGAAUCUUUGACAUUCUGAUUGGCUGAAAAGCUCGGCUUAUGACGCUGCAUCUCUGUCAACCUCAGUUAUUUUAUUUUAUAUUUCUUACCGCUGUAUUUUCCUUAUGAUGUUGUAACGCUCGCUGUAUCCUGUAUCAAUAAACGAGAUGCUCGCUCCUGA